GACGAACGCUGGCGGCGUGCUUAACACAUGCAAGUCGAACGGAAAGGCCCUGCUUUUGUGGGGUGCUCGAGUGGCGAGCGGGUGAGUAACACGUGAGUAACCUGCCCUUGACUUUGGGAUAACUUCAGGAAACUGGGGCUAAUACCGGAUAGGAGCUCCUGCUGCAUGGUGGGGGUUGGAAAGUUUCGGCUGUUGGGGAUGGCCUCGCGGCUUAUCAGCUUGUUGGUGGGGUAGUGGCUUACCAAGGCUUUGACGGGUAGCCGGCCUGGGAGGGUGAACGGCCACAUGGGGACUGAGAUACGGCCCAGACUGGUAUGGGAGGCAGCAGGGGGGAAUAUUGCACAAUGGGCGGAAGCCUGAUGCAGCAACGCCGCGUGCGGGAUGACGGCUUUCGGGUUGUAAACCGCUUUCGCCUGUGACGAAGCGUGAGUGACGGUAAUGGGUAAAGAAGCACCGGCUAACUACGUG
rnacentral:rRNA from 1 species